rnacentral:rRNA from 1 species
GUGGGGAAUAUUGGACAAUGGGCGAAAGCCUGAUCCAGCCAUGCCGCGUGUGUGAAGAAGGUCUUCGGAUUGUAAAGCACUUUAAGUUGGGAGGAAGGGCAGUAAGUUAAUACCUUGCUGUUUUGACGUUACCGACAGAAUAAGCACCGGCUAACUUCGUGCCAGCAGCCGCGGUAAUACGAAGGGUGCAAGCGUUAAUCGGAAUUACUGGGCGUAAAGCGCGCGUAGGUGGUUUUGUAAGUUUGAGGUGAAAUCCCCGGGCUCAACCUGGGAACUGCCUCCAAAACUGCAUGACUAGAGUACGGUAGAGGGUAGUGGAAUUUCCUGUGUAGCGGUGAAAUGCGUAGAUAUAGGAAGGAACACCAGUGGCGAAGGCGACUACCUGGACUGAUACUGACACUGAGGUGCGAAAGCGUGGGGAGCAAACAGGAUUAGAUACCCUAGUAGUCC